rnacentral:rRNA from 1 species
UAACGCGUGGGUAACCUGCCUCAUACAGGGGGAUAACAGUUAGAAAUGACUGCUAAUACCGCAUAAGCGCACAGUGCUGCAUGGCACAGUGUGAAAAACUCCGGUGGUAUGAGAUGGACUCGCGUCUGAUUAGCUAGUUGGUGGGGUAACGGCCUACCAAGGCGACGAUCAGUGGCCGGCCUGAGAGGGUGAAGGCCACAUUGGGACUGAGACACGGCCCAA